UAAAUAAGGGAGCUUGGUCUUACGAAUCGAUAUAUGAAAAUAUACGAAAACAUUAGCUUAGAGCUUUUGGCUUGCAAACACUCUUAACUCACGUUGAUUUUCAGCCCACACACAACUCACACACACUAACACCUAAAACACACACACCAUUCACGCAUAUACCAUUUUUAGCUUGAGCUCAAGCUUUUGAGCUCCGAUUUGAGCACCGAGACGAGCGCCGAUCAUCUUUUCGAUCACGUAUCUAAGUAGGUCCUUUUGGGAAGUAACGACUUGAGGGAGAGAGUGACGUUACUCAUUGAUACAGAGACACAACGAGGUUGAGCUGAUGUGAUGAUGGUGCUGCAAUGAGCGGAGUCUCCAGGGUUGUUAAUAAAUAGUUAACCUGUCUAGAAUAUGUCUUCAUACAUAUGUCUAGCUACUUUCCGCUGCAAGAUGUUGUUGAUGUUAUAGUAUGUUAUGUCAUACUUUGAGUCUUAAGAGAAUGGUUUCAUAUGAUGUAUAACUUGAUUAAUGAUAUUAAUUAAGUUUUAUGUUGUCUUUCAUAGACUGUUCAAAAGAGUAUUAAUGAGUAAAUACGAUGAUUUUUCUUAAGUUAAGUAAGAUUUACGGUUUCAAAUGAUGCCCCUUUCUUUCCCUUAUUCUUUAACCCCAUCCCUAGUCGUAGAUCACUCGGCUUAACUAUCCUUAGUUAAGGCGGGC